UAUGUGUGGUGAGAAGGUGGUGUGUUGUGCACAUACAUGGUGAUGUGCAUGCGUGUGUGUUUGUAUGUGUGCACAUGGUGAUGUGCAUGUGUGUGCAAGUAUCAUGUUGUGUGUGCACCUUGUGAGUGAUUGGCACCAUGAGAUGAUGCAUAAGUAGGUGCAUGUGCUAGUAUAAUCUUGUGCUUGCAAGCAUAGUGGAGUGCAUGUAUGUGUUGUUUCCA
rnacentral:lncRNA from 1 species